rnacentral:rRNA from 1 species
GCAGCCGCGGUAAUUCCAGCUCCAAUAGCGUAUAUUAAAGUUGUUGCAGUUAAAAAGCUCGUAGUUGGAUCUCGGGUCCGGGCUCGCGGUCCACCUCGCGGUGGUUACUGCCCGUCCCGACCUACCUACCGGUUUUCCCUUGGUGCUCUUAACUGAGUGUCUCGGGUGGCCGGAACGUUUACUUUGAAAAAAUUAGAGUGUUCAAAGCAGGCGCUUCGCCUGAAUAAUGUUGCAUGGAAUAAUGGGAUAGGACCUCGGUUCUAUUUUGUUGGUUUUCGGAACUCGAGGUAAUGAUUAAGAGGGACAGACGGGGGCAUUCGUAUGAUGGUGUUAGAGGUGAAAUUCUUGGAUCGCCGUCAGACGAACUACUGCGAAAGCAUUUGCCAAGAAUGUUUUCAUUAAUCAAGAACGAAAGUCAGAGGUUCGAAGACGAUCAGAUACCGUCCUAGUUCUGACCAUAAACGAUGCCGACUAGCGAUCCGCCGGAGUUGUUUCAAUGACCCGGCGGGCAGCUUCCGGGAAACCAAAGUCUUUGGGUUCCGGGGGAAGUAUGGUUGCAAAGCUGAAACUUAAAGGAAUUGACGGAAGGGCACCACCAGGAGUGGAGCCUGCGGCUUAAUUUGACUCAACACGGGAAAGCUUACCCGGCCCGGACACCGUAAGGAUUGACAGAUUGAGAGCUCUUUCUUGAUUCGGUGGGUGGUGGUGCAUGGCCGUUCUUAGUUGGUGGAGCGAUUUGUCUGGUUAAUUCCGAUAACGAACGAGACUCUAGCCUAUUAAAUAGUUCGCCGAUUUCGAUCUGUCGGCGUUAACUUCUUAGAGGGACAAGUGGCUUUUAGCCACGCGAGAUUGAGCAAUAACAGGUCUGUGA